UGAGUGUGAGCGUAGAUGGUUGUUUGUCUGUGUGUGCCCUGCGAAUGGCUGCCAAUCGGUUCAGGGUGUUCCCCGCCUACUGCCCGAAGACACCUGGGAUGGGCUCCAGCACCCCCCGCGACCCUUGUGAGGAUAAGCGGAUUGGAUGGAUGGAUACAAACUAUGAGUUUUCCCUUCAGUAUUGGCAGGACGAUCAGUCAACACGUCUACAAAGAGGUCGUGUGGCAUUUGUUUUUUUCAGCACGCGAAAAGGGGCCAGAUUUGUAAGAGGACAACUCAUGGCUGCUUUACAAUGACAGUAUACAAACGCAGAAUGCCCUGAGCAUCCAACAGUUGCUGGCUGAGAAAACCAUCUCCUUGCGAGAGCAACCACCCUUCUCACCUUACCUGUUUUCUUUGUGUUUUCCUCUUUGCCAAGUUCACUGGUGUCUUCAAAGAGUUUUAAUACCUGGGGAACAUCAAGGUGGCCAUGCUGAUGGGGCGGUGGAAGAUCCUGAACAAAAAAUCUUCCAGGAAUGUAUGAAUAAGUCUGGAAUAGGACAUUAGGCUCUGGGGGAUGACUUUGACAUCUAAACCACAAACUACUCCUUCAAAUAUAUUUUUUGUGACACCAGUCCUGAAACGUUUCUAACGCACCUUGUACCUUGUACGUAAAAUCAACUGAACCUUAGCGAGCACUUGGCAACAGAGGCAAGGAAAAAGUGAGGUUUGGGUUAGGGGCUAGGGUAAGGGUUUAGUGCAGGGGACUAUGUGUGAGGAGUUAGAGGAUUAGGUUAGGGUUUAGGGUUGGGGGUUAGAGGGUUAGCAUUAGGGGUAAGCAUUAGGGUUAGGUUGGAGAGUUGGGGUUAGUUCAUGAUCUGACCGACGUGCUCAUCACUGGAAAUAAACAAUAGAUUGUCUUAAACAAGUACAAGAAAAAGUAAAAAAAAAAAAAAUCAGCAUACGUUUUAAAUGGUUAAUGGGAAAGAGGGAAGGCCAGUUCAUUGAGUUUUGCAGGAAAUUCUUAGGAGGGGCACUAACUGAAAGCAGUUCAAACAAGAUUAGAAGCUCUCUGAGUUUUUUAAAGAAGCAACUCAUUGGAAUGUGUUUAGUUGUACCCAAUAUGGCAAUCGAUAAUGUUGGUAAUGUAAGUGAGAUAUUCACCAGUGAGUACGUUCAAAACUCGACGGUCAUGUCAAGCUCCCAGCGUGCAAAUAGCCUUUUAAAAUGUUACAAGCAAAGUUAUGUCCGAUAUCAUCUUCAAAUAACUUCUUAAAUGUCUUCAUUCAUGAGUGAUGUAAUAAAUAAAACAAAGAGCUAACCCCCUCUAUGAAGCGAAUAUUAGUAUGAAAUGGAGACUUACCGGUAACUCCAUGACUCAUCAUUGCCCUUCUGCAAUGAAGCAUCACAGCAAUCCAAUUUCAUCAUAAAAGCCAAUUUAAAUGAAGCUAACCUUGCUAUUUUCACUCAUUGUCUAAAAAGCAUCCAGAUGAGGGGACAAUCACAUCACACAGCUUCUUCAGAAUGAAGAAACUGAAGUAGUUUUGCACCACUUCUCAAACAAGUUGCGUUCAAGCGGCACUGUAUUUGUUUUCAAGAUAUUUUCCAAGAUUUGCAUUGGUUAAUUUUGCAUUAAAUUAAAAUAACAGAUCAAGUCGGGAAAGAUAACUGAGUUCAUAUGUGAGAAUAAAAAAUAAUAAUUUGACGCGUUUUGGACUUACGAGGUUUCAGCCGGACAGUGAUGAUACACAAGGAGGCCUAUUAGAUAUAUCGAUUGAGUCUUGAAAAUGAAAAGGUCACCUCGCAUUACAUAACACAUUUUAUUAAAAACCUAGAUUUGGUCUAGUUGAGUGAUAUCAAGGGUACUUGUUAUCUUUUUAUUCCAGUGUUUUAUCAGCGGAAUAAUCGGUGUUAUUAGUAUUUUAGUCAGUUAACAAUCCCAGCUACCAAAUAAAAGCUAGUUAAUUAUUUUCGAAUCGCUGAGCUGUUAAAUAUGCAUAGAACAUCGCAUACCAGACAUAAAACAGUCAAUCGGAGACCAAAAAAAACAUUUAUGUAAACUGCAACUGAGGCAUGGUGGACAACUUCCACUGCUUCAUUUUGGAAAAUAGCUCCGAUGUUGCAGGUCAUAUGUUCUUGAUCACCCUCGAUUGUGAUUCAACUUGCAAACUUGUGACAUAAAAGCAGUUUAACGUUCGAAAGACAUGGUCAAUGAGGUAAAAUAGGUUCUUAUCUCAUUGUGUGAGCAAAAUAUACAUACAUGUCACUCAUACCGGAACAAAAAAAUGAGGACAUAAAUGUCAUCUAUGGUCCGUGAUUGAUACUCAUAGAGUCAUAUGCUAACAUGAAUGACAAUCUUGUGUGUGUGUAUAUAUAUAUAUAUAUAUAUAUAUAUAUAUAUAUAUAUAAAACAAGAACUUGAAAUGUUUCAGAAGGCAGAUACCACAGCAAAGUACGAUAGUGUCUAUGAAAGGAAGUGAUUGGGACACAUAAAAUGAAGAGAAUAUGUACAAAGGUCUUUAAAAAAGUCCAGGCUACUUGUUUUUAUUCUUUAUUUUCAUUCUUUUUCCGAACCGCUUAAUCCUCACUAGGGUCGCGGGGGGUGCUGGAGCCUAUCCCAGCCGUCUUCGGCCAGUAGGCGGGGGACACCCUGAACCGGUUGCCAGCCAAUCGCAGGGCACACAGAGACAAACAACCAUGCGCAGUCACACUCACACCUCUGGACAAUUUAGCGUGUUCAAUCAGCCUGCCAUGCAUGUUUUUGGAAUGUGGGGAGAAACUGGAGUACCCGGAGAAAACCCACGCAGGCCCGGGGAGAACAUGCAAACUCCACACAGGGAGGCCUGAGCUGGAAUUGAACCCGGUACCUCCGACACAGUAGGGCCGUUCACACGGCACACAUUUGCUCCGGUGCUUCACCGAGAUAUUUUGUUGCGGGAUAUUUUGCACCGUAGGAAAUUGUGUGGAGCGUUCACACGUACACUGCCGCUGAGCGGGGCAACCCCGGUACAGUGUCUGGGCUGCCCCACUUGCGUUCACACGGCAGUUUCUGCAGCGGAGCAAAACGACAGAAAACAAACGAGCUGUCGUGUUGGUUCUUUUUAAAAUGUACUGUAUAUACACAACUCAAGCGACUACUGGACCGGCACGUCCUUCUCCUUCUCGAUCUCCGUGCCUUCUGCUCGAGAGUGACCGCCCAAGAAAACGUAAAUGAACGAUGACUUCAAUGACACUCAGAAAAGCAAACACUAAUGCGCCAAACAGAAAAUCAGAGGAAAUCACAAAAUAAAUUCUAUGGGGGGCGGGGGGUUGUGAACAAACAACAAAGGAACAAACAACUCCGAGACAGUCCAGUCUCCUACAAAAGGAAAGAUGUUACUAGCCAAGUCUUGUGUCGUUAUGAAUCAACACAUUACGGAAGUCCGACAGAGCACGAAAGCAACGCAUUCUCGCCAUACGUACUCUUCACAAGCAUUUGCUCUGGAGCUAAUUUAACCCAGUUGCGUUCACACGUGCAAAUUUACACCGGUGCUGCUUCGCAAACGAGCAUUUGCUGCAGAGCAAAUAUUUGACCCACCUCCCUGAGGUGGGUCAAAUUUGGUCCGGUAUAAGCUCUUUUCCGGGGCUACGCCGGAGCUAAUUUGCACGUGUGAACGCUCUACUGGGGCAGCCCCGGUGCAGCACCGGACCAAAUCUUGCCGUGUGAAAGCCCUAGUGUCGGGGCUACCCCGCUCAGCGGCUUUGUACGUGUGAACGCUCCACACAAUUUGCUGCGGUGCAAAAUAUAUCGCAACAAAAUAUAUCGGUGCAGCGCCGGAGCAAAUGUGUGCCGUUUUGAACGGCCCUUAUGUAUGUCAUUAUCAUACAUGUGCAUGCGUGAGCACCCAAAUUAAUUUUGCAGAUAACAGGCAAUUGGAAGCAGACACAGAUCGGCAAAGCGUUGAUUGACGAAAAUGAGAAGGGCAGGUCAAGCCGAAUAAACCAGAAAACCAGACGAGGACGGACAAUAGAAAUACUUUCUCGGACAUGUAAAUAAACCUGAUCCCCCAAAAAAGCAAUUUUCAAUUUGAGCAUUCUAGCCAAUCGAAUAUGAUCCCAUGGUACGUUGCCAAACCAUCUUCUUAGAUUAAAACAACGAAAACAUCUGACAUUCAUGCAUCAGAGGUAGCAUGUACCAGAAUGUUCGGUUAAAUGUUUGCCAGAGAAACACAGUUUGCAUGCGGCCAGCACAAUUUGUUCCUGGAACUGUUCCUUAAGAGUGUUACGGAUCAUGUAAGUUGUCUCGGCUAGACUUUAUUGUCAGAAGUAGAAAACUGUUUGCAUUUGCACACAAGCGGUGGCACAAAUCUGCUUUGUUGAGGUCGGCUGGAGUUCAUAUAUUUUUCCAGUUCUUGACAGCGAGGGCUUGGAUUGAGAUUAAAUCUUGCAUAUAUGAUAUAUAUUUGGCAUAUAUUUUUUUUAAAACGUGUUUCGCAAUAGAGAGUGUACCAGGUCACCUUUUGGAAUUAAACAUCAGACAGUGGCCAGCAAAUAUAAAUGAGGCAAUGUUGAUAAAAUAUCAAGCUAGGAAAGCCUAAGGGGGUUCAGUUUUGUGAUUCCCUGAGAUUAAAACCAGAGGGAAAUGUGCUGAUUUACUUUGAGUCUAAGAAAGCAACUCACGGCCUGACUGAAAGUGCUGCUUUAGUCACCUUUAUUUCAGAUCGUCACUCAUAGAUAUUUAGCAGCCACUGAACACCUCAGCAUGCCGUAGGAAAGAGGGGCAAAGAGUAUGCAGCUCUAACACGAAGCCAAUCAAAUAGUUUGUUCAUGUGGAAAAAAACGAAAUAAUUUUAACAGCUCACAUGGGAUCUGAAACAAGAAUCAGUUUAUCUAUACAAUCCUCCAAAUAAGAACAGUCACUAAAACAAGUCAUCAAGACUAGCCUGAGCUCCAGUAUUGCUAAAGCAAAAAGCUAAACAUAAAAGCAUUCCAAAUAAUCAGGUUCAUGCAAGACAAGAAGUUGAACAAAGACUGAUUCAGUUGUUUCGACUUAUUCAUCCAGUCAUUUGAGCCAGAUAAAAGAAAAAAAUGACCCCCACAUUUGUGAAAUAAGGAGUUAUCAAGAUGACUUAACUGACUUGAGAUAUCUAAUAUGUCCCAACAUUUACGUCCUGGUAGCCAAGAUGCCUUAAAAUGGCCAAUAGAAAAAAAAAACUCGAAAUAUUAAUUGGGCACAUUCGCUUAUGUUCUGGGCCAACUGACUUUGUCGAUACAUGCUUCAAAUUUUGCGAAGGGUCCACUUUAAAUCAUGAUGGAUUCUUUGAACCUCAUUCGUGCGCUUGUUUGAAUAGCCGCCGAACGGAUGAUUUUUGCGUGAGAACUCAUAAUGCAUACCUGACUUUUAACACCUGAACAGCCUCACAAAACACACGGAACAAUGAUGAGCAAAGAGGGAACCACACCCUUACCGCACUGGUUGAUGAUGAACAUUUUACUUGUAUGGCUAUAUUGCCUCUUUUGUCCUCAUGUAAUUAGGGUCAGCAUAAUGGGAAUUGAUGGCACUUUGUUUUGUAUAGUCUUUAUUUAUUUGCUGGGUAACGAUAGAAACGCUUUGAAAAAAACCUCCGCUGACACUAUCGAUGUUAUGAAAAUGCCAAUCAGCAAAAUGUCGUGUGUUUUCUGACAAAACAGUUCAAUUUAAACACAACAAAUUCAAAUGUUUGUGGAAUCUGUUGUGACUUACGUAGUACAUUUAUAUAUUUAUGGCGAAUCAAAAGAC